rnacentral:rRNA from 1 species
AUUGAACGCUGGCAGCAGGCCUAACACAUGCAAGUCGAACGAGUGGCGGACGGGUGAGUAAUGUCUGGGAAACUGCCUGAUGGAGGGGGAUAACUACUGGAAAUGGUAGCUAAUACCGCCUACCAUCGGAUGUGCACAGAUGGGAUUAGCUAGUAGGUGGGGUAACGGCUCACCUAGGCGACGAUCCCUAGCUGGUCUGCUAGGAUGACCAGCCACACUGGAACUGAGACACGGUCCAGACUCCUACGUGAGGUAGCAGUGGGGAAUAUUGCACAAGGGGCGAAAGCCUGAUGCAGCCAUGCCGCGGGUAUGAAGAAGGCCUUCGGGUUGUAAAGUACUUUCAGCGGGGAGGCGUUACCCGCAGAAGAAGCACCGGCUAACUCCGUGCCAGCCGCCGCGGUAAUAC